rnacentral:rRNA from 1 species
AGUCGAACGCUUCUUUUUCCACCGGAGCUUGCUCCACCGGAAAAAGAGGAGUGGCGAACGGGUGAGUAACACGUGGGUAACCUGCCCAUCAGAAGGGGAUAACACUUGGAAACAGGUGCUAAUACCGCAUAACAAUCAAAACCGCAUGGUUUUGAUUUGAAAGGCGCUUUCGGGUGUCGCUGAUGGAUGGACCCGCGGUGCAUUAGCUAGUUGGUGAGGUAACGGCUCACCAAGGCCACGAUGCAUAGCCGACCU